GUUCUCACCUCAGCAGCACAUAUACUAAAAUUGGAAAGAUACAGAGAUAAGCAUGGCCCCUGUGCAAGGAUGACAUGCAAAUCUGUGAAAUGUUCCGUAUUUUU